rnacentral:tRNA from 1 species
GGUAGAAUGACUGAAAUUAAGUGAUAAAUUGUAAAUUUAUUUAUGAGAGCUAAUCUCUUCUGCCA